rnacentral:rRNA from 1 species
UUGCAGCCUGCAACUCGGCUGCAUGAAGCUGGAAUCGCUAGUAAUCGCGGAUCAGAAUGCCGCGGUGAAUACGUUCCCGGGUCUUGUACACACCGCCCGUCACACCAUGGGAGGUCGGGAAUGCCCGAAGUCAGUGACCCAACCGAAAGGGGGGAGCUGCCGAAGGCAGGCCUGGUAACUGGGGUGAAGUCGUAACAAGGUAUC